CUGAAAGACUGAAAGAGAGAGAAGAGAGACAAAAAAACGGUAUCCUUCUUUAGAGCUGAAGAAAACGAGAGAGGAAAUAUGGUAUCCCCAUGGCUGUGUGGGUUUCGUUUCAUGGCUACCGACGAGGAACUUGUCCACUUCUAUCUUCAAAGGAAGGUGGACGGACAACCAUUGCCUCCUGAUUUGAUCACCCACUGUGAUAUUUAUGCUGGGAAUCCAUGGGAGAUCUUGGCCAAUGUCAAGAACUUUGAUGGAUACUAUUAUGUGUUCACCAACUUGAAGAGGAUGAGUAAAAACAAGAUUGACAGAAGGGCCGGUUCUGGGACCUGGAAGGGCCAAACUACUAAUCGAUUUUCUCAAGCUGAAGGGAAACCUCAGUGGGCGAGGAAAGCGUUCGUGUUUGAAGUUGACAAGAAAAAUUCAGAUGCUGUUGGCCCAAACAAUGGGCGUUGGCUUAUGGUAGAGUAUUCGGUAGGCGAUGAAGGGUUUGAUGGUAAAGUUGUGCUGUGUAAAAUUUACAACAAACAUGCAAGGGAUUUGCUCAAGGGGAAUCAGAAUCCAACAAAGAAGACGAAGAAGCAAACAUCAUGUGCUGAUGACGAUGAAGGGGAUCAGAACCCAAGGAAGAAGAAGAAACAAAAUUGCACUGCUGAUGACGAGGAAUUCCCAAUAGCGUCUGACUUCACAUCAAACAUGCCAGCAAUGCCGGCUGAAGAUGGAGCUGCCUUUUCCGCAGAUGAAGGAUUAAAUUCCCUUCUUGACUUUUCAUCAGAUCAUGAUCUAUCAUCACUUCUUUCCUCAGACAUGGACGUAGGGACUGGAACUUCACCUGGAGAUGAACUCAGUAAAUGUUUGGCAGAGAACAUCUACGACGGUGGCUUCUUCUCUUCCAUGCCACCUCUCACUACGCAAUGCAACAAAGAUAACCAAGAAAACAAAGACGACGAAAACGGCGACCACCCCUCCUCAUCGAUGCCUUCUCGCGACUUCUGGUUUCCUUGGGAGAGUUUUGCGGAAUGUUAAUUAUUGAGUAGGAACCAUACACUAAGUAGUAUGCUUAAUUUUCAGCUUCAUUGUAAAUGAGCUCGGUAGUAACAAGUAUUAAUCAAAGAUUCCACUUUCU